rnacentral:ncRNA from 1 species
UCACCAUCCCGAGCGGCCGAGAGACCUGGCUCCCCGACGCCGCAGCAACCACGCCGUCCGGCGGGGUGCUCCAGCCAGGAACGAUGGAAG